rnacentral:rRNA from 1 species
UAGCAUAAUAAAUAGUCUUUUAAUUGUAGUCUAGUAUGAAUGGUCGGACAUGAGGCAAGCUGUUUUAAUUUUGAUAUUUGAAUUUUACUUUUAAGUGAAAAGGCUUAGAUUAAAUGGUGGGACGAUAAGACCCUAUAAAGCUUUACGUUUUAUUUUUCAGUUGAGGGAUUUAAGGUUUCUUAUUCUUAUUAAGUGAAGCGUUUCGUUGGGGCGACGGGAAUAUAAAUGAGUAACUGUUUUUAUUUAAAAAAUAUGUUUUUAUAGGUGAAUUGAUCCUUUUUAGAGAUUACAAGAUUUAAGUUACUUUAGGGAUAACAGCGUAAUUUAUCUUGAGAGUUCAUAUCGACAGAUAUAGUUGCGACCUCGAUGUUGAAUUAAAAUAUCCUCCAGGUGUAGCAGUUUUGGUGGUAGGUCUGUUCGACCUUUAAAA